CUGCCCUCGGCCACCUCCGCCUUCAUGGUAGCGUGGCCCCCGCGCCUAUAGCUCUGCCUAACCCCCGGGAACAGGGGUCCCGACGCUGGCGUAGCAGCAGAGGCGCCUCACCUCGUGCACAAUUCGUUUGCCAGAGCAGAGGAGUCAUUUAACGAAAGCCCAAAGUGAAACAGAAAAGCUGAAAACUCUCCCGGGCUCCGUUCUUGCUCCCGAGUCCCAAACAGUUAAAAGGACGUUGGCAAAGCUCCAGAGGAAGAGAGGACUGGAAACACUUCGAAGCACUAAGCGCGCGGCGGCGUUGGCCCUGAUGCAGGCGACACUGGAGCAGUGGCCCGCGGCCCGUGAUGACCUCCCAGGUCCGGCCGCUGACGUCACGAACUGGCCCUAGGCCUCGCCCCGGGCCGGCCAGUCGCCUCUGCCCCUGCAGGCUCCCUCGGUGGAGGGUGGGAAAGAGAAGUUUUGUCCAGGCUGGAGGAAGAAAUGAACAGGGCUGUGAAUCAUUCAAAUCUUGAAUGGGGUUGUUUGUGAAGGCGGGCGAGGGGGGGUUGCCUUCUCUACCUAACCCUGUGAUUCACAGCUUCUCAGAAAUUUACAUAAUACAAGGGCGUAGAUGUAAACCUAAAAGACAAAAAUAAUAAUUCAACAGCCCAUAUUCCAUUUUCGCACCAUGGGCCUGGAUAUGUUCCCGGUGUUGGCACAUUAGCUGAUUUUCAGAGCUUUUUGCUCACAACGGAGAACAUCUGAACUUUCACACCACUGUUGAAAGGAGAGGGAAAGAGAGAGAAAAGAGAAAAAGAAAUUGGCUUUAAUGAUGCUGAUUUAGAUUUCUGAGUAAUGGCAAAAGGUUUUAAUAAAUUUAGAACAUAUGCUGUGUACCAAAGGCAGCAGGCAUGGUUAUAAUUGGGGUCCCUCACUUUCCAAAGUAUUCCCCUUUUAUUUGGCAGAGCCUAACCCUAACCCUAACCCUAACCCUAACCCUAACCCUUUAAUAUUAAUAGAAAAUUCCAAUUUAUUAUUUCCCUAAAUAAGCGAAGGCCUCAACAUCUACUGAAAGAGAUCAUGUUGUCAACAGGGCUCCACUUGCUAACUCAAACAUAGGGUGGGAAAGCAAACCAGGCUGGUACAAAACACACAUGAUUGCUGUCAAUACCUUUCAAAUAAGACUUUUUUUCCCCUUCUGCCUUUGAUUUAGAUGCCAUCAGAUCAAAUUGUGGAGUCCCACUUGCUACAUUUUCUUGAGUCCCUGUGAAAAAGGUGGAGAAAGGAAAGGUGGGGGCAGAGAUUGUGAGAGCCCAGAGUCUCGGUAUUUUGGCCAAGAGGCUCCUGCACUGUGCCUUUCACAAGUGAGUCUGGUGUCCACGUCACUGGAAAGCUCAAGGACACUGCCCCAGCAGAGGCCCUUCCUCUCUUUUUGUUUAGGUGCUGGAGUCCAGGCCAUUGGAAAUCAGAAACCGGAGUUUUUCAUUCACCCUUUUCUGCCAUCUACAUUUUACUGUUGUCCUCCCCUGAAAAAUCCCUGUGCAAAAUUGGCCAUAUUCCCUAACAAUCUAAUCCCUCCAUAGUUUGCAGUUUAUUAUUUUAAGUUAAUUUCUAGAGGUUUCAGUUAAAAACUUUCCAAGUAGGAGUUCCAGAGGAGAAAAUGCCUUCUUUCUCAAAUGUACACAGUAGGGGCCCUCACAUCCCUGACCUCAACUGCUGCUGAAGGAUAAGAUACAGCCCGUCUUUUCCCUCCCAUUCCCAUCCUUUUAAAGUUGAAUUCUUCAAUUAUCUGUUGAAACCCAGAAAAUCUUUUCCUUCUUUUUAAGAAACGUCUUCAUAAGUCAUCCCAGGACCAAUUUAUUUGGGUGCUGGAAUAAAUGAUGCCAAUUUCCAGGCCAAGGCCUCCUAUCCUGGGUUCCCUAGUCAGGGAAGCUCAAACAAUGGACUCCUCCUUGGGGAAUGGGUGCUGUGGUUGUUCUUAGCUUUCAAUUGUUUUUCAGUCAAAGCCUCCUUCAUUCCUG
ensembl:lncRNA